rnacentral:other from 1 species
CAUAACCUAGCUUGUGCGUAUUGAUUACCAUGGUUUUGAUCCUAUUAUGUGACAAGGGAGCUAAAUGUCAAAUUAGUACAACAGGCCCUAUCCGUGUGAAUAAGGGAAGUUGGAAAAUUGGGACUAGGUACCCACCUGCGAGAGCAGGGUCAGAAACCUGGAAUCUUACGGCAAGUCGGGGAAGGG